rnacentral:rRNA from 1 species
GGGGGGGGGGGGGGGGGGGGGGGGGGGAGGGGGGGCGGGGGGGGGGGGCGGGGGGGGGUGGGGUGCGGGAGGGGCGAACGGGGGGGGAACACGGGGGUAGCCUGCGCUGGGCUGGGGGAUAACGUGGGGGAGGUGGGGGUGCGCCGGGGUGGGGGCUCCGGCGGCAGGGGGGGGGGUGGAAAGUGUCGGCGGUUGGGGAUGGACUCGCGGCUUGUCAGCUUGGUGGGGGGGUAGUGGCUUACCAAGGCUUUGACGGGUAGCCGGCCUGAGAGGGUGACCGGCCACAUUGGGACUGAGAUACGGCCCAGACUCCUACGGGAGGCAGCAGUGGGGAAUAUUGCACAAUGGGCGGAAGCCUGAUGCAGCAACGCCGCGUGCGGGAUGACGGCCUUCGGGUUGUAAACCGCUUUCGCCUGUGACGAAGCGUGAGUGACGGUAAUGGGUAAAGAAGCACCGGCUAACUACGUG